UACCUGGUUGAUCUUGACAGUAGUCAUAUGCUUGUCGCAAGGAUUAAGCCAUGCAUAAGUACAUGUCGUACUAAGGCGAAACCGCGAGUGGAUCAUUAAAUCAGUUACGGCUCCUUGGAUCGUCCCUUACUACUUGGAUAAUAGUGGCAAUUCUAGAGAUAAUACAUGCAGCAGAGCUCCGACCCUCUGUCAACGAGCGCUUUUAUCACACCAUAACCAAUCGGACCUCGGGUCCGUAUUAUGUGGUGACUCUGUAUAACUUUGGGCUGACCGCGCGGGCUCGUGCCGGCAAUGUAUCUUUGAAGUGUCUGACUUAUCAACUGUCGAUGAUAGGUUACGUGCCUACCAUAAUCGUAACUGGUGACGGGGAAUGGGGGUUCGAUUCCGGAGAGGGAGUCUGAGAAACGGCUACCACAUCCAAGGAAGUCAGCAGACGCGCAAAUUACCCACUCCCAGAACGGGGAGGUAGGGACGAAAAAUAAACAAGGCGGGACUCUUUUGAGACUCCAUAACUGGAAUGAGUACGCUCUGAAUCCUUUAACGAGAAUCAAUUGGAGGGCAAGUCUGGUGCCAGCAGCAGCGGUAAUUCCAGCUUUAAUAGCGUAUAUUAAAGUUUUUGCAGUUAAAAAGCUCGUAGUUGGAUCUCAGUUGGAAGCACUGAAGGCACAGUAUGAGAGUAGAGUUUAUGGAUGACACAGGUUGAGCCUUGUUGAUGUAGACAAUGGGUAAUGGACAUUUAUAAACACCGUAAUAAACACCGUUGUUUCGCCUUAGUUACGCCUUUAUUUAUGCGAAUCUGCGCCAUUUAAUGCAUUUUUGUAACUAGAAGUUACUAUCUACCACCACAAGGUUGAGAAAAAAAGGGCGCUUAAUAUCCUUUAUGGACACGCUGUAUAUGUAAUGCUGUAAAGAAUGUACUGUAUUCCCUUUAUGUUGUCCAUAUGGUAUAGUAGUUAGGGGAUUCUACUGCAGUAACAAAGAUCCAGGGUUCGAAUCAUGG
rfam:Stegodyphus mimosarum contig73073, whole genome shotgun sequence.